rnacentral:rRNA from 1 species
CCUACGGGGGGCUGCAGUGGGGAAUAGUGGACAAUGGGGGCAACCCUGAUCCAGCCAUGCCGCGUGUGUGAAGAAGGCCCUCGGGUUGUAAAGCACUUUCAGUGAGGAAGAACGCCUGGUGGUUAAUACCCAUCAGGAAAGACAUCACUCACAGAAGAAGCACCGGCUAACUCCGUGCCAGCAGCCGCGGUAAUACGGAGGGUGCGAGCGUUAAUCGGAAUUACUGGGCGUAAAGCGCGCGUAGGUGGCUUGAUAAGCCGGUUGUGAAAGCCCCGGGCUCAACCUGGGAACGGCAUCCGGAACUGUCAAGCUAGAGUGCAGGAGAGGAAGGUAGAAUUCCCGGUGUAGCGGUGAAAUGCGUAGAGAUCGGGAGGAAUACCAGUGGCGAAGGCGGCCUUCUGGACUGACACUGACACUGAGGUGCGAAAGCGUGGGUAGCACACAGGAUUAGAUACCCCGGUAGUC